UUAGAAGAGAAAGUAGCUCCGGUUGUGAACUGCCAUUUUCCUUGGCAGUCCAAGUCCCUGUGGUCGUGAGCCUGCCUACCUGAUACCUGCUUCUCUUCCUCCACCUCCACACCCUGUUCUUUUUUUACUCUUUCCAUUUUUUUGGAGUACUUCAAGGGUAGAAUAGUAUCCUGGAUUCCAAGUUAUGUCUGGCGGAAUAGGUCGGAAGGUGCCCCUAAGGUGAUCUUCGUGAGUCUCAGCAAAGCGGAGAGAGCCAACGCAAAGACAGAGGCCAAUUGUUGUAAAAGGUCAUAGCUGCUUUCAUCAGCUGACACAUGAACUGGUGAAAAGGAAGCAGGAAGAUGAGUCGGAGAGAAGAUGUGAUGACCAAAGCAGGGGUUGGAGUGCUGAGCUUUCAAGACAGAGGAAGGGGCCGCAAGCCAAGGCAUGCAAGAGGCCUCUAGAAGAGUUAUAGGUGAAGCCCCUGAGGCCCAGAGAGGGGAGCAAGCUUACUAAAAGCUCCCCUAGUGGGGAGAGAGCCUGGUGAGAACCCACCCACCGGACUGCAAGGCCAGCUGCUGCAAAUGUCAUGAGGUCAGCCUCCAAGUACCAUUAUUGAUUUUUUCCCUUCAAGUCAUGCGAGAAAUCUCUCGUCCUUUUUUAGUCAGAAGCGUAUUUUAAGGGCUGUAGAAUCAUAAGCUCACAUACCCAAUAUUUAAAAGAUAAACUCUAGCCCUUUCCUGGAGUGAGCCUAUUUUCAUUUUCUCAUUGUGCAAUGUGGAAGGAUUGCUGGCAGACCACAACUCCCCCUCCCCUAAUAAUUUAUUGUAAGAGUUCUUGGAAUGGAUAACCAGGUUUUCCAUCAUCACCAUUUUCCCCAUUUUUUUUCCUAACUUGGUUCGCUUGCUACCCAACAGUCUUGAGGUUCCUUCGUCCUGGGAUCGGAUGCACACAACGGGUAUGCAAACUCCUUCCCUCGUCUCUGAAGCAAACAACGAAAUAGGAAAAAGCACACUGCCAUUUUCUGACUGACCUCAAUCGCUGAGGGUGGACCCCGCACGUUACAUCAGCAGGCCGGCUCCAUUACACUGCCCUGCGCUGUGCUCGAGCUACUGAAAUAUUGAUUUUCACAGAGCCGGCGCACACACACUGAAAAAUCAAUAUUCCAGUGCACACAACAGAACGGGCGGCAGAGCCGGGACCAACUCCUGGGCCCAGCAAGCACAGCCGGCAGGCCUGGGCCGAGGAGGGGGUGGGGGCUGGAGCAGACAAUGCCUGGGGAGAGGCCCCUGCCACCGGCAAUGGUCAGAUAAACAAGCGAGUGUGGGCAGGGAAGAGAAAGGAGAGUGGAGAGAAAGAUCCUUGAGGAUAAACAGUUGGAAGGAGCAAUGAUUUAUCUUUCCAUAGGGGGAAAUGGGGAGAAGGAAAGUAAAUUAAGAAGAGAGAAUGGGAAGAAUUUUCCAGAAAAGCACCUUCUUUGGCGUGCUUGGGAAACCACAUUAAGAACUGACUCUUUUACAUGCCCCGUGACUGCUUCGUAGGGAAUCCUGAGCUCCCCCGAGUCACACCUCCAACCAGAUGUGGGCAGGAGAACGUAGCCCCUGGUGCCAGUCUCGGGUGCCCAGUGCCCAGUGCCCAGCGGACGUCAGGGCGGAGACGGACUGCAAUUUCGGUUAGUCCUCGUAGACGUGCAAAAAAAAAAAAAUUUCAGAACUGGCAUUUUUACCACUUUUAGUUAGCUCUUUGGCCUCUUUUUUAUUGGGGUGGUGGGCAGUUAAUUAAAAGAAACGACUUUUAACCUCGAUGAAUUCUUGAUUUUGCUUUGUCCUAGAAUUCUCUUACCGAGAAUCUCGCUAUUAGUUCUCCCAACUCUCUGCGGGCGGAGGAAACUGUCCUCGAGGUUUCUUUUCCGUACUCUGCCGGGUGGGCGGCGCCGCCGCUUCUUCCCUAGCCCGGGA